rnacentral:misc_RNA from 1 species
AAGUCGUAACAAGGUUUCCGUAGGUGAACCUGCGGAAGGAUCAUUAAAAAAUCAUUUGAGCCGCAAGGCUCUAUUAUCUUGUGAAAUGUCCAUGGGAGAAUUUUGCCCAGUGAGUGAGGAAGGUAUAUGUCGCUUGCGCUCUAUAUCGUCCACUUCUCUAUGCGCAGGAUUUUCCCAGUUAUUAUUAAACAUAUGUUUAUUGAUGUUGAGGAAAUGUAUAUUUAAAUAUAAUACUUAUACAACUUUCAACAGUGGAUCUCUCGGCUCUU